rnacentral:rRNA from 1 species
UACGGAGGGUGCGAGCGUUGUCCGGAAUCACUGGGCGUAAAGGGCGCGUAGGCGGUGCGAGAAGCGUGUGGUGAAAGGCCGGGGCUCAACUCCGGCUCGGCCGUGCGGACUCUCGCGCUUUGUGAGUGCUGUAGAGGCGGGCGGAAUUCCGGGUGUAGCGGUGAAAUGCGCAGAUAUCAGGAGGAACACCAAUGGCGAAGGCAGCUCGCUGGAACGGUACUGACGCUGAGGCGCGAAAGCGUGGGGAGCGAACAGG